UACGUAGGUGGCGAGCGUUGUCCGGAAUUACUGGGUGUAAAGGGCGUGUAGGCGGGAAUGUAAGUCAGAUGUGAAAUCCCAGGGCUUAACCCUGGAGCUGCAUCUGAAACUAUGUUUCUUGAGUGCCGGAGAGGAUAGCGGAAUUCCUAGUGUAGCGGUGAAAUGCGUAGAUAUUAGGAGGAACACCAGUGGCGAAGGCGGCUAUCUGGACGGUAACUGACGCUGAGGCGCGAAAGCGUGGGGAGCAAACAGG
rnacentral:rRNA from 1 species